rnacentral:rRNA from 1 species
GACGUGGGGGCUAGCGUUGCUCGGAAUGACUGGGCGUAAAGGGCGCGUAGGCGGAUGGCACAGUCAGAUGUGAAAUUCCCGGGCUUAACCUGGGGGCUGCAUUUGAUACGUGUGAUCUAGAGUGAGGAAGAGGGUCGUGGAAUUCCCAGUGUAGAGGUGAAAUUCGUAGAUAUUGGGAAGAACACCGGUGGCGAAGGCGGCGACCUGGUCCUUUACUGACGCUGAGGCGCGAAAGCGUGGGGAGCAAACAGG